AUAAAAGAGUGUUUUCCUCUCUGCAUGUUUCAUUGUACCAGUGGAGGGCAGAAUUUCAUUUCAGAAAUUAAGGCAACCAAAAGUUCAUUAAAAUGCAGAGGGAGUGAAACAGCCCUGUUAAUGUUGUUGAUACGAUUGUGCUGUUUUUUUUUUUUAAGGAUCCAUUUCAAAAAUAGGCAAUAAUUCCAAUCAGUGACAGACACCAAUAUACACUGAGGGGGGUAGCAGCGGGGGAAAGCGUCUACCGUCUAAGGUUAGAUCAAACAGCCAUAAAGCUCUACUUCGGCAUUCUCUUUAAGCUCCACUGAGGGAACAUUAAACCCAACAGGAAGUUUUUAAGAACACUUCUAUUGCAAAUGACAAGAGCAGGGAUAUGCAAUCACCUGAUGGAAAACACCCUUAGCCUAGCAAUGAUGACAACAAAUGGAAACGCUGGCAUUCUGUCACAUAGCUGCCAAUGAAUAUCGACCGUCAAGGAAAAAAACACACUGCAUUGGCUCUGGGGAGGACAUUGGCAAAUAGAAAGGUUCGGAUCCAGGUAUGGAACAGCCCCACAUUUUGUCACUCAGAAAGCUGUGCUGCCUCCCAGGGAUCCACUGCAUGCAGGACAAAAUUGGUAAGUUGUCCAGCUUUGACUAUCCACCAUUUCCUUUCAAACAUUAAAAUAAAACAAAUUGUAAUUUCACUGGUUAGUCUUGCUUUAUCAGCAAUUCUUCUUAAUUCUAGGCAGAAUUAAAACCUCAUAUUUCACUGGUGGCUCCUCUGUUUGCAUGAAAUCAACAGUCGUGUCUGAUCAUACCAUUAUGUAUUCAUAAUAACUGCUACCACUGCCAUACUUAAUCCAUAAAUAAAUAUUUAUUUAAAUUAGACAAAUGUAUAUAUAUAUAUAUUUUUUUUUUUUUACCCAGUUAUGAUGUAUGUAUGCAGUAUAGUAUCAUUCAAUGCAGAGAUUGUAAAGGUGACUUAAUUAUUUUAACUGAUGUUCAAGAUUUUUUUUUUUUUCCUGAUAAAAAAGUAAAUUUAAAUAGUAUUCUUUAUGAUAAAAAUGACUGGAAAAUUGUAAGAAAAAAAAUAAUUACAUGACAUUGAGAUAUAGUUGUACAUAUUUUCGCCAUGGCCCGGAUUAAUACUCAAUUCUGAUUGGUUGACGGGUACUUAUUUCUGUAUGUGUACGACAAUAUGUCCAUCGCAAUUCUCAAUCAUUAGGCUGAUACUUUUCAAAAUGCAACGUUAUUGAAGUUGUGUUUUUUUCAUAAAGACAGGGUUACCUCAUGAAUGGAAUUAAUCUCAGUUUGAUAAAUGACAAAUCUGGGUCUGUGCCAUUUGGUUUAAUACCCACCCGUGUUAAUGACAGCUGAAUUACUUAGUUGCUUUAGUUGCUGAGGUAGAAAUUAUCAGUGGAAAUGGUAUUCAACCUUGUUGGUGCUACAGAUUUAACAGAUGACUGGCUCUGUCUUCAUCACCUUUAUUGACCUAACAGCUUUAUUGUAGAAACAUUUUACAUUGAUGUUGACGGUCUUCUUUCUGGUGCUCCGUAUCCAUGAGUCCUGACAUGUAUGUGAAUAGGCCUUUCAAUACCCUAGGUCCUGGCAGAGGUCUGCUUACAUGUCAGCCUACAUGUUGCAUAUUAGUUGAGUGUGCCUUAGCCCUUCAGAGGAAUACCAGCUGUGCUAUUUCUGUCCUCCUGACCAGCACUAAUGGCUUUGUCAUCCUCUUCUUGCUCUCUGCCAGCUGGUUUAUAUAGCGUAAUUGUAAUUUUCUUGUUAAGCACGUUGAUCAGAUGUGCUGAUUUCAAAAGCAGCCAUGUCUGCCUCAUGAAAGGACCCUGUCACUGUUAAAAGUCUGUUGUUGGAUGACAACAAUUGUAUGGGGCAUCUUCUGUGAAAGCUUGUUGUUUCGGGCUAGUUUAUCUUAUGCGCUUUUUUGCUGUGUUUUCUCGCCAUCCACUCAAACCGAAACUGACAAACCAUAUUUCUAAGAAGUGUCAAAUGAUGAUUGGGCUUAAUCCCUUGGUUGGCUCCUUUCUGGACUUCAGUAACAUUGGCACAUAACAAUAACUUGGCUGGGAAUCAAUUGAUAUUGGUACUUAUGUAGCCAAACUGUGUCUUUCAUUCACAAACAUAGCUUGGCUAGUUCUGCAAUCAUUAAAAUGUCUGGUACAAUGUACAGAAAGGGAAAAAAACAGAUAAUUACAGAUAGAUUGUUGUUGAAUCCAAACCAGUUUUACAUUACUUUUACACGAAGGUUACAAUGUAUUGCACUUCAAUGCCCAACCAUCUUUUUAUAGUCUUAAAUGAUUAGCUUAAAAAAAUAGUAAUGAUGAUUGAAAUUUUAAAAAAUUGUGUAAUUAAUGUGGACAAAAGCUAUGCUGUUUUCCUUUAUGUCAGGAUGUGUACUGCUGUGCAGUACUGAGACCGUAGACAGAACCACGCCUACAUCAGCCAUGGUGACCAGGUUUAUGUCAGUUAUGCACUUUAUUAAUUCUUUCUUAAGGUUCUUACACAGGUAAAGCACAAAAGUAACCAUGUCCUAAGUUAAUGCAAGCUGUACAGCCCCUAUGCGCAGUUGGCAUCACUAAAAUGUCUUUAAUUUAAUCCACCCUUGCAGUCAUGGACCCUCUGCAUAAUUUACAGCUGACCUGUGUCUCAGUGAAUAAAGCUUGAAGUUGACCUCAUGAUUUUUUUUCUUCUUUUUUUACCAUAGGCUUAAAAUAAAUGAGACAUAUAAUGACAACUUUGCAUGUACCUCAUGUGUAUGUAAUGUACAACAUAAAAGCUCCAUCUCACUUCUGAACUAGUUUAGUUCCCAGCUUGAUGUGCUGUGGGAGGUUGGGAUUCAAAUCUCGCAGUCUCUCUUGCAUCUAUAAGGACAGGAAAAGUAAGUGCCUAUCAGAAUGAAACGACUCAACUGUUUUCCUUCUUUGUCUUCCCUUCUCUCUUAGAGCCCAGCUUCAUUCCUAUGGCCGUUGUGUUGCUAAUUUAUAGCUGACUGUCUAUACUCUCAGUGCAUGUUGUUCUUCAAGAGAACAUUAUACUUAUGCUUAUAUUUUUUAUAAAAAUGAAGCGUAGUGACGCCUGUUUUUCAGAAACCAAACAUGUACAUGGAAACAAUGUUUAAAUUCUCAUUUAUAUCAGGGGUAUAUGGUUUUAACUGAUUUAGGUAAAAGUAUAACAUAUUUUACAUAUCCUAGCUACACUAUCCAUUAUGUACAUUAUUUUAACUUUUAAAGGCAUAAAAACAAUUAAGGUAAGACAAUAAAGUAACAUAUGACAUGAAACAUUUAGUAUUAAGCAAUUAUAGUAUUAUUAAUUGGGAUGGCAGGUAUGCCAUCCCGCCAAGUUAUGUAUAUUUACCAAACAAAGCUUUAUGUGAGAUUGAGAAACUGACCUCAGCUUGAUUUACGUUUGACUCAAUUUCACUUAAUUCUACAUGGCCAUGCAUACGGCUCUAAUGAAAUUCUUAUUAGCAAGUACUUAAAUAGGUGUCAUAAUAAUGAUAAUGACCUGGGUGGCACUCUAAAGAGUACAUUCCUCUUUGCAGUUAUCAUGUUAAAUUUCCAUUUGAUAUGCCUGUCCUUAAAUCAAUCAAUAAAUGAGACCGCACUUAUUUUUAAAAAUCCUACAUAUAAAAUAUGGAUGCCCUAAAAAAUUUUUUUUAAUUAAUUACU